UACGAAGGGGGCUAGCGUUGUUCGGAAUGACUGGGCGUAAAGGGCGCGUAGGCGGCGGACUAAGUCAGGCGUGAAAGCCCUGGGCUUAACCUGGGAAUUGCGUUUGAUACUGGUUUGCUUGAGUGCGGGAGAGGAUGGUGGAAUUCCCAGUGUAGAGGUGAAAUUCGUAGAUAUUGGGAAGAACACCGGUGGCGAAGGUGGCCAUCUGGACCGUUACUGACGCUGAGGCGCGAAAGCGUGGGGAGCAAACAGG
rnacentral:rRNA from 1 species